UACGUAGGGUCCGAGCGUUGUCCGGAAUUAUUGGGCGUAAAGGGCUCGUAGGCGGUUUGUCACGUCGGGAGUGAAAACACGGGGCUUAACCCCGUGCCUGCUUCCGAUACGGGCAGACUAGAGGUAUGCAGGGGAGAACGGAAUUCCUGGUGUAGCGGUGAAAUGCGCAGAUAUCAGGAGGAACACCGGUGGCGAAGGCGGCCUGCUGGGCCUUGUCUGACGCUGAGGCGCGAAAGCGUGGGGAGCGAACAGG
rnacentral:rRNA from 1 species